ACGCCAGGGAAUUACGAGUUUAACUUAAAACCCAAAGGAUUUGACGGUGUCCCACCCACCUAGAGGAGCCUGUCCCAUAAUCGAUAACCCCCGCUCUACCUUACCGCUUCUUACCUAGUCUGUAUACCUCCGUCGCAAGCCCACCAUGUGAAUGCAAGUGGGCCAAAUGGGGUUUUCCCAACACGUCAGGUCAAGGUGCAGCUUAUGAAACGGAGUGAGAUGGGCUACAAUUUCUAUCAUAGAACAUACGAAAAGAUAAAUGAAACUCAUCUAUGAAGGUGGAUUUAGUAGUAAAAAGAAAGUAGAAUAUUCUUUUUAAUUUAGGCCCUGGACGUGU
rnacentral:rRNA from 1 species